rnacentral:rRNA from 1 species
AUUGAACGCUGGCGGCAGGCUUAACACAUGCAAGUCGAGCGGAGAUGAGGUGCUUGCACCUUAUCUUAGCGGCGGACGGGUGAGUAAUGCUUAGGAAUCUGCCUAUUAGUGGGGGACAACAUUCCGAAAGGAAUGCUAAUACCGCAUACGUCCUACGGGAGAAAGCAGGGGAUCUUCGGACCUUGCGCUAAUGGAUGAGCCUAAGUCGGAUUAGCUAGUUGGUGGGGUAAAGGCCUACCAAGGCGACGAUCUGUAGCGGGUCUGAGAGGAUGAUCCGCCACACUGGGACUGAGACACGGCCCAGACUCCUACGGGAGGCAGCAGUGGGGAAUAUUGGACAAUGGGGGGAACCCUGGUCCAGCCAUGCCGCGUGUGUGAAGAAGGCCUUAUGGUUGUAAAGCACUUUAAGCGAGGAGGAGGCUACUGAAACUAAUACUCUUGGAUAGUGGACGUUACUCGCAGAAUAAGCACCGGCUAACUCUGUGCCAGCAGCCGCGGUAAUAC